UAAAAAUGUAAUAAAAUAUUUAUAUUAGUAUUAGUUAAGAUCUUGAAAGUAAAAAAAUUUGGCGGUAAUUUAGUCUUUUUAGAGGAACCUGUUUUGUAAUUGAUAAUCCACGAUUUAAUUUACUUAUUUUAAUAGUUUAUAUAUCGUUGUAUAUGAAUAUUUUAGGAAAAUUUAAAUGUUCUAAUUAUUAUUUAAUAAUGUAAAUUCAAAUCAAGGUGUAGCUUAUAAAUAAGAAAUGAUGGGUUACAAUAUUAUUAAAUAUAUGAAUAAUUAAUUGUAAAUUAAUUUGAAAUUGGAUUUAAAAGUAAUUUUAUUUAUUUUAUUAAAAUGAUUUAAGCUCUAAAUUAUG
rnacentral:rRNA from 1 species